rnacentral:rRNA from 1 species
GGUAGUGGGGGAUAACGUCCGGAAACGGACGCUAAUACCGCAUACGUCCUACGGGAGAAAGCAGGGGACCUUCGGGCCUUGCGCUAUCAGAUGAGCCUAGGUCGGAUUAGCUAGUUGGUGGGGUAAUGGCUCACCAAGGCGACGAUCCGUAACUGGUCUGAGAGGAUGAUCAGUCACACUGGAACUGAGACACGGUCCAGACUCCUACGGGAGGCAGCAGUGGGGAAUAUUGGACAAUGGGCGAAAGCCUGAUCCAGCCAUGCCGCGUGUGUGAAGAAGGUCUUCGGAUUGUAAAGCACUUUAAGUUGGGAGGAAGGGCAGUAAAUUAAUACUUUGCUGUUUUGACGUUACCGACAGAAUAAGCACCGGCUAACUCUGUGCCAGCAGCCGCGGUAAUACAGAGGGUGCAAGCGUUAAUCGGAAUUACUGGGCGUAAAGCGCGCGUAGGUGGUUCGUUAAGUUGGAUGUGAAAAUCCCCGGGCUCACCCUGGGAACUGCAUUCAAAACUGACGAGCUAGAGUAUGGUAGAGGGUGGUGGAAUUUCCUGUGUAGCGGUGAAAUGC